GACGAACGCUGGCGGCGUGCCUAAUACAUGCAAGUCGAGCGGAUUGAUGGGAGCUUGCUCCCUGAUAUCAGCGGCGGACGGGUGAGUAACACGUGGGCAACCUGCCUAUAAGACUGGGAUAACUUCGGGAAACCGGAGCUAAUACCGGAUAAUCCCUUUCCUCUCAUGAGGAGAGGCUGAAAGAUGGUUUACGCUAUCACUUAUAGACGGGCCCGCGGCGCAUUAGCUAGUUGGUGAGGUAACGGCUCACCAAGGCAACGAUGCGUAGCCGACCUGAGAGGGGGAUCGGCCACACUGGGAGUGAGACACGGCCCAGACUCCUACGGGAGGCAGCAGUAGGGAAUCUUCCGCAAUGGACGAAAGUCUGACGGAGCAACGCCGCGUGAGUGAUGAAGGUUUUCGGAUCGUAAAACUCUGUUGUUAGGGAAGAGCAAGUACGAGAGUAACUGCUCGUACCUUGACGGUACCUAACCAGAAAGCCACGGCUAACUACGUGCCAGCAGCCGCCGUAA
rnacentral:rRNA from 1 species